rnacentral:lncRNA from 1 species
CCAUAAGGGUGAGUGGAUGCAAACUUGAAUUAAUUACAAGUUUGCCACUUACAUGUGAUGUAGUAUAAAGUCAACUUUAUAGCUUUUUCUCAUUAGGGUUUUCUUGAGGCAAAGAAGAGAAACACUUUCUCUCAUUUUCUCUAAAAGGAGGCCGGCCACUUAGGGAAGAAUUAGCUAGCAAUAUUUUUUUCUAUAAGUCAUCCAUUUCAUCUUCACACCUCAUCCUUGGUGUGGAGACUUAGAGACACCAAAUCUUUGGUGUUCUUGGAGAUCCUUUGCUCACAUCCUCAAGGAGCAAAGGAGCAUCAAAAGGAAGAAAAACACAAGGAAGAUCCAAGGAGCUAGGAGGUGACAUGAAGGCCCUCCACUUGGGUGAAUCCCUUGUGCAAACAAGGAUGAGUUUCAAGGGUAAUGAAUCUCUAAAUCCUUCCUUCUCUUUAAUAUUGUUAAAGAGUCUUGUGGUUCACCAUUCACUAGGCUUUGAAAGUCAUGGGUUUUAGAAUUGUUUUUUUAAUGCAUGCCUACUUUAAUGUGUUAUUAGUUUGCAUAUGUGUUCAAAUGUUUUCACAUGUUCUUAGCUAGGACAAAUUUUUUCCUUCAAGUGGUAGCAAGAGCCGAGGUCUAGUUUAUGGUGAAUCCUUUUGGGUUUUGUGUUUUUUCAUGGUUUGUAAUUUAAAUGUUGUAAAUGUUACAAGCUUUGUUCUUGCUUUUGAAUAUAAAUUUUGCUUGAAAAUUUAGCAUCUCAAAUGUUGUAGAUGUAGUUCAUUUAAGCAUGAAUAUUGGAACUAAAAUUUGGUGCCAUGUAUGUGGGGAAAUUCGGCCAAAUCCAAAUGGUGGAUUUUUGGGUUCAUGUUUGUCUUGUUAAAAGAGUUUUAAAGUGACUUUAGGAACCCCCUAAGUGCCCUAGGAUGUUAACCCUCUUUUGUAUAGUGAAAAUUUGAGUUUUAUUGAGUGAAAACAUUCAUGGAGCUCUUAUGAGUUUUCAUGUAUGUUCUUCAAAGUUCUUGAAGUUCUUACCAAGAACAAAAAGGUUUGGUGUUUUGAUUCAAAGUGUUUGAUGUUUUUCAUAAAGUUUUGUUUAUGGUGGUUGGUGUGGCUUUAUUGUAACGACAUGAUUUGUCCUUUUCAAUCAAUUUUUACACCCAUCCCUUUCACCCUUUUUCCACUCUUUAAAAUUUGAAUUUUCACCAAAACCUCCCCCCCCCCCUUUUUCACUACCAAAACCAGCCACCCUACAAAGUAGGGUACUUUUGGGGCCUUUAUUUAAUUACAUAAAGUUUUGAUACUUUUGUGUAUUUAUACUUUGGCCCAAAAGUUUACGUUUUUACGUAAAGGCCCAAAAUCACUAAAGGACAAAUUGUUUUGCUCCUUUAAUGAAGUUUUUGUUAUUGUUGAAAUUUUUGGGUUCUAGUUGUAAUUACAUGAAGUUGUGGACUCUUGUGAUUUUACAAAGUGACCCCAAAAGUUUAAGUUUUAACAUUGGGGCCCAAUAGUUGUGGUCAUUGUUUUUCGGCCCAAAAGAUGAUGAGAACAAAAUGGUUUUGUCUCUUUAAUGAGAAUUGGAUUUUCAUUUCAUUUAGUUCCAUUUAAAUCAAUUAUAUGAAUCCGAAAACCAAUUGUUUAAGUUUCUUUCUUAGUUAAUAUGAUUGAUUAAGAAAAUGGUGAUUAUGAACCAAAGGCCUCGAUAAUUGAGCUAUAUGAUUGGCCGCUUUACAUUAUGAAUGCUUGGGUUAAGUAGUUUAGAUUUGAAUGUAAUUUGAUUAGUUUAAAUUUGUUGUAAAUGGACAUAAGUCCAUCAAAUGUGUUGUAAAAGGUCAUAAGCCCUUCUUUUUUUUUCAAGUAUUCCUAUUUGUUUAUUUGUAUGCAAAUUGGAAUACUUGGGUCCAUGCCUAAUAGGAAAUAACGGUUUAAUUAGAUUAAACGCGUAACUAAAAUCAACAACUACCUACCUUAGACCCAAGGUCCAACACAAGGCUCGUGUUGGAUCAAAUCAAACAGUUCAUAAUCAUCCUAAGACCUAAUAUGACUAUAUAGUCCAUAUGAGGAUGCAAAGCAUUCGUUAGUAGUUCCAUAUAGUCUCUCUUGUUUCAUCGAAAUAGUGGGAGUAUUAUAUACUACUAAUUCAUAUUAACUUGGACCAAUGGUUGUGAUAGGCCCAAGUUCUUUUAAUAAGAUUAAAAUAAAAUUGAUGUAGCCCAACACUACUCCCUCAACAAAAUGAAUAUUAAGUUGAUAAGCGAGAGAUGCUUUGAACAUCUCUUCGUAGGCCUUCCACCAUGGUGGGCUCCAAUCGUUUGUGACUCCUACACCGACUUCACCCUAUCAUGGGGAAGUUCAAAGUAUGUGCUUACAUUCAGAAGGAGUCCAUAUGUACAUACAUGAUGUGGUGAGGUAGGCAACGAGGAUGGCCGACAUCAUAUCAUUGUAAGGCUAUUCUUGAACCCCUACACGAACUAGCAUGGUGGGAAUAACUUAACUAAGUGCAAUGGUGCCAACAUCAUAUCAUUGUGAGGCAUCAUUCUCUAGAGGCCAAAAUAGAUGGGUAAUUACAAGAGUUGUAAAUGACUAAAGCGUUAUGCUCUCAUCAUUAUUUUUUGCUAACCAACAUCGUAUCAUCGUGAGGUGGGCUUGGUAAUGGUGAGUCUCCCAUACCCCGCUAAGAGUUCAAACAUAACUCUCGAAUUCCAUUGAGGGAUGUGGAAUUUGCCAAAAAUAGUGGGUGGUACUAUUUGAUUUAAGACCCAAUCAAGUAGUUUUAAAAUCAACAAUCUAAUACGAUUUUUGUUAUUUUAUGUAGUUAAAGACAUGCCUAAAAUUACACCCACCAUUAUACUUGACAAAAGGGGCCUUAGGGGCCAACGUU